CUCUUCCAGCCUCCUCAAACUUCCCUGCUGUUCCAGGGAUGGUUAACCAUUAACCGGAGCCGGCCAGAGUUCUCCUCAGACAGUCUCCAGGUCUCUGGGAUGCAAGUUCUCCAGCUGAUUUUAAAACACGGAUAGCUAGCUGAUGAUAUUUAGCUACUUAAUGGACUGGAAAGAAAACAUCCUGUUUUGACAAGUGAUUGUACGGAACCAGGUAGAAGAAAGCAGUUCCAAUGGUGAACAGUCUCGCUCAGAUGUGGUGGCUCCUCAAACACCUACCUCCCUUUCAGUUGAAAUUGGCAUUCAUGGAAGGAUCUGAGCCUGAAUUAAAACUGGAGCAGGUUAAACGAAACCAGCACUACAGUUCUCCUGACUGCAGAGAAAAGCUCAGUGCUGUGACUGCCUGUUAAACACUGAUACCACAAAUGUGAAUUAGUUCAGGAGAAGAAGAAAAAAAAAAAAGGUCUUUCAACAAAAGCCAAACCUGAUAAAUCCUGGAUGCAGAAAAAGAAGUCCUAACGGCCAUAUUUGAGCCACGUUGCUGGAGUUGCCUGAUUAGAAGAGCAAUUUAGAUCCUGAUGAUGGUGACUGUAAAAUUUCUCUAAGUAAGGAUUCAGGUUCAAACUCCUCUCUGUUACACAGUGCAAAGGGAGUGCUGCCGGUUGAGUGAUUCCCAUUAAGACCCAUUUGGCUGAGAGCAGAUUUACUCCUCCGGCAGAAAGUCUAUAGCAGGUACGCCCCGAGUCCUGUACAGGGUUCUGCCUUGCUCACCUGAAGGCACGCUGAGCCCUGUUAUCCUCGGCGGUGUCUGGGCAGCAUCAGUUUUCACUUGCUGUGAAAGAAAGCAGCAUCCCAUUGAUCUUAGUGAACAGGCAGCAUAGUCAAUAUUGUUUAUAGAUCAUGAGAGCCACAAGUCAUCUAUUUCUGGCUCUACCCUCAGGUCACACUCUUACCAGCUGCAUCUUAGUGACAUUUCCACUUGGUCAUCUUCUGAAAAACAAGCAACAAUGUCAAGCACAACAACAACAAUAAAAUUUUAACUUAAAGCUCAGCAGUUCCCUCAAGGAUAGAAUAUGCUUUUGCUUUACUUUUCUAUUGCAAAAAAAAAGUUUGUGCUAUUUAAAAUUUAUUAAGACACUGUUUACCUAGAACGGCCUUUAAAAAAGCUAAUGGCAGCACUAUCUAUCUCAGUUGAGUGCCUUACUGAAUCAAGUCAUUAGCUCUACCAACUGCCCAGAAACAGUUUUGCUACCAAUAACCAGUUGCUUUUUGCUUUCAUUUUGAAAUGGUAGGUGGAAAAGCAACUGUUAAUAUUGAACAGUCUUGAAAUGGUACCUGCCAGUUACCCAGGCAUUAGAAGUAUGUUUAUCAUAGUUUAUAUGAAAGGAAAAUGCUAGCAAAACCACAAAAGCAACAUCACAUUUCUGCACGAGUUGCCUGCUUUCAGCUGGGACUGACAAAUGGUUUAACAGAAGCCACAGCCCUAUGUGAGGGUCACAGAAGCUUUUUGGUGGGGUGGAGAGGAUGGUUUUAGCUCAGCUGGAGCAGAGUUGGAAGGGCCACUCACACUCCCUCCCCGUUCAGUGGCCUCCGCUCUCUCCACCUCUCCUCAUCCACGGAGCUCCAUCGAACCCAAGCAGAAGCAGGUGAAGGUCCAUGAGAAGGUGAGGAGCCCUUAGGGCUCCAGUAAGCGUGGAGCUGGCACUGCAGAGCAGGGCUGAGGAAGGCAGUGAGGGCUGGAAUAAAUGCAAGACUGCGCAACUAGUCGCUGGGCUGAGGACAACACAACAUUCAUUCAAAACUUGAGGAGAAGCUUAGAAAUCCCACGUCCCCAAGCGGGCAGCAAAAACUCCUACAGUGAAGCACUGCCAGAGCCACCUAAUGCUGCGUACGGGAGAGGGUGUGGGGGUGGGCUAUGAUGUUACCAGAGAGCAGGUGGGUUGGGCUGUGUUAAAAAAACACAAGAGACAGACCAAGCCACCAGGCAUAGGUUUGUAUUGUGGGUUGUUGUUGUUUUGUUUUAGUUUUUAAUCUCGGAAAUAAACACUUCUGCAGUUUGCUUUUUGAGCAAACUGACUGCUACUGGUGUUGGGCUUGGAAAGCUGUGAAGGCGCAGAGUCUGUUGAGUCAGACCGAGUCACGGGCAGAUGGAGAAAACAAGGAAAGGCUGCGGGAACUGACGGUGCAACGUGGGCAGAGAUACAUCAGAGAACCAAAGAUUUCCGUCGGUCAGCUCAGAUGGCCGCAGCAGCCUUCCCCUGCCCCAGGUACCCUCACCUCUUGCUAGAGCUGCAGUGGUUCUUGCAGGAGACGUGAAUCAACUCCCUCGUUGGCACCAGGUCUCCCAGUGCACAGUGGCAGAGUUACCUUUAACGCUACUGCAAUCACACGGUAUCCUCACAGGCAGUCUGAAGAGGACCUGGCCAUCUAGACCCAUUUUCCUCCUCAAGGAUGCAGAAGCUGCACUUCGAUCAUUCCUGCCAUGUGUGUCGAACCCGAGCUAGAGCAUCUCUUCUGCAACAGCUCUGCACUGCCUGCUGGCGCAGUCUGCUCCGGCAGCCUCCUCCCUCCCUCCCUCCCUCCCUCCCGACUUCUGUCACCCUGGUUUUCAAGAAGCUCUUCGCUACAAAUGGAUUCCAAGGGGAUUUCUGAAAAGUAAAUACUCCCAUUUGUAACAACUGGUGUUCUUUUAGUAGUUGCACUGGUACAUGACUCAAAGUACACAACCACUGAAAAGACUUUUUUUUCCCUUUCGAAUUACGGAGAUUUACGGAAAGCACAUAGCAUAAGGCAUAUAAGCAGUGAUAAAUAAUAUGCAAAAUGCAUCUCCUUCUGUCACACUUCCAUCCGUACCCAUUUCAAGGUCCUUCCAGUUCUUUGCUCUCCCCAGCGAGCACUUUUAUUUCCCCUUCCCCCAGAGUCCUCCAUUAACAGGUGCCUUCCCCGUGUGGUCUGCAGCAUGCAUGGGCGGUUGAAAUGCUGCACCCAUCAGUCAACAAAGCAUGACCCAAAUCAGCUCAUGCUGCUGGUUCGUAGUUGACUUCCAUAACAAUGUUACCCCAAACCACCGUCCCCUGAAAGGCCACAUCAUUCUGCCUGGUCCCUCACGCUGUAUGAAGUCUGCUAACGUGUCAGAUGCCCUUGUCUGAGCACCAGCAGCCCAUCGCUGGGCUGAGAUCCAUUUCAAAUCCUGAGGAGCCUCACCUGCAACCCAAAACUGUAGGUGGUCUAUACACCAGGUACAACAGGAAGCAACAUAUUCUUUGGGGCUGUUGGCUUCACUGACUUUUUGUGAAGUUUGGGAAUGACGCCUGUGAGGGCAGACCGGACCGCUGGGCCUCCUGCAGAGAGCUCUGGAGCUCUGUCCACACAGUUCUUAUCACAAGAACAGCAUCAGAGUUCGUGAAAGCUGUUGUUGGUCAGGCCCUGAGCAUCCAUGAGGUGAAGCAUGACUGAACUGAACAAACAGAGCUCUUCCAAGAGCCCAGCUGUUCCACUGCUGGCCUCGCAGAUCCGGGUGUAAAAUUUGAAGAUGUUG